GAGUUGAUCCUAGCUAGGACGAACGCUGGCGGCGUGCCUAACACAUGCAAGUCGAGCGGGGACAUGCGACGGAUCGGAAGUUUCGGAUGGAAGAGAAGAUGUAUGUUCUAGCGGCGGACGGGUGAGUAACGCGUGAGCAACCUGUCCUUCACAGGGGGAUAACACAGCGAAAGUUGUACUAAUACCGCAUAAGACCACAACGGGACAUCCCGAAGGGGUCAAAGGAGCAAUCCGGUGAAGGGUGGGCUCGCGUCCGAUUAGAUAGUUGGUGAGGUAACGGCCCACCAAGUCGACGAUCGGUAGCCGACCUGAGAGGGUGAUCGGCCACAUUGGGACUGAGACACGGCCCAAACUCCUACGGGAGGCAGCAGUGGGGAAUAUUGGGCAAUGGGGGGAAACCCUGACCCAGCAACGCCGCGUGAGGGAAGAAGGUUUUCGGAUCGUAAACCUCUGUCCUUGGUGAAGAGUAAGAGACGGUAGCCAAGGAGGAAGCCCCGGCUAACUACGUGCCAGCAGCGGC
rnacentral:rRNA from 1 species